CAGAAAUUGAAAGGUCAAAUCGUGAUAUUAAAAAGCAAAAGAAUAUAGCAAUUUAUAUUAUGUUCAACUACGAUUUAUGAAUUAUUUAUUGAACUACUAUCUAUAAAUAUAAGUUUCAUUCUGUACGAGUCGUAUAAUACGAAGUGGAUUAUAGCGAAAAGAACUGGAGCAGUUGCAAGACCUAACUUCAAAUCUGCUGCGGUAGGUUUGCCCAUUGUUGACAAAGACGACACGAAAUCCAAAAGAUCGUCGACUAAUUGAAAUGCUAAACCGAUGUUCCUGCCGUAUUGGAAGGCUAAUUCGACCAACUGUUCAUCACCACCAGCUAGCAUAGUCACCUACGUUCAAAAUAUAUUUAUUAAUGAUA